GUCAAACGUUUUUUUUUUAGGUGGUAUUUUGUCGAAGCUGUGAGUAAGUCUCACUUUUUAUAACUUUUAGUGUUCUUUGUUCGUUAGCGUUUUGCGAAUUAGCGGAAUGUUAAACGAAUACACAUUUUCCCCCCCCUUUUUAAUCGGGCGAAUUCGUAUCGAAGAGAGGGAGACAACGACAGGAAUGGCCGCUUGACGUCAUCUUUUCCGCUGCUGUGCCGCUAUCAGUAGGAACUUUCUCGAAAGAUGGCUGCUUAGGUUACACAAUAGAUAUAUUUAAUAAUGUUACAGCCGGAUGCUUUUACUUUGGGCCCAGCGCCAACGACUGUGUGGUGCUGUUCUCGUUUAAUGCCCGCCAUUUCUUUGUGUGAAUGAGUCAGCUUUGAACUGGUUGCGCAGUGGCAUUUGCAUCAGGGCGGACUCAGUGCGCAUGCGUCGCAGGGCAUAAUGUUGCAGAUCAGUCUAGAGCAGAGAGGUGGGGGAGGGGGACAUACUGAGCAGGAAAUAAGCCACCAGGGUAUUAAUGUAGAGCUAAGAAAGCAGUGACAAAAGUAGUAUUACAUACUAACACACACUCGUGUUAACAUUUUAAUUAACAGUAAUACCAAAAUAAUCAUAUUUAAAGUAGUUCAGUAGACCGCAUAGGGAUAAAUACAAAAAUAUAAACAUUUCUAGUGAUCAUUUGCAACAAUUGAAAAGCCAGAGGUUUAUUACACCUGUUACCAUGCAUCCAAAAGGCUGCAUGGUUAGAAAUGACUACAAUUAGCCCACAUUCAUUCAUAAAUUCAGCCAAAUUGGCAUUUAUGUACAAUAAAACCCAGAAUUUUCUCACUCCUACUUCCAUCCCCAAGAGAACAACCAAAAGGCUGCAUCAAUGAAAUCAAACCAGUUUCAACAACAUAUUAUGUGAAUGUUGGAAAAAAAAAAAGAGUAGGGAAGUUUAUGAUUAGGCUUAUUUUUACUAAUUUUUGAAUAUUUUACAGUGGAAUCUGCUUAUAAUGGUCACGUUCGUCCAGAGGCAAUUUUAACACUAUAAGCGGUUGAUUACUAUAUGGGAAUUUACAGUUAUUUCACUUAUUUUUAUGCAGAAUAUCAUCUAAAUGCCAUUUGUCUGGUUUUUCAAUGAGCAAAAUGAAAUGAAAUGGAUAGCUUCCGCAUCUACUGAAUUUUAUUACAGUACCAUGUAAGUUUAAUUACAGUGUUCUGCGCAGAUAUAACUCUGGUAGCUUGGUGCAGCUGGUGCAUUUUUUUUUACAAGUCUGAAGUUUGAAACAAACAUACAACAACAAAAUAGAAGAUAACUGCAUAGGCUACAAAAAAUUAAAGCUAGCUUACCCCUGUUUUGUGUUGCGGAUCUGCUGCACCGCAUUAAGAAAUCACUUCACAUAUUUAUUUAUGGUUCCCUGGAUCAGAGUGUUGUCCAACACCGAGUUCACUUCUUUUUCAAAACGAUCUUAAAGGUCAAAGUUUUGGAAACCAACAUGCAGGAGACCAGUCUUUAAAAUGCAAACUGCAUUCCUCAGCUCUGGAAGGGAAUACAGUCUCCUCUUCUUCAUCGUUCAUUUCCGGUCAUGACUCGCAAGCUAGUUCUACUUGUCCGGUUGUCAACUUUUUAUGUGAGCUAGCUAGGCAGAAGCAGACGCCCAGAAAGGAAUCUUGGGAGUAAAAAAAUAAAAUAACUAGGCUACACGUAAUUUUUAAAAUUAUUUUGGCACGUUUACAUUCAUAAAAUAGCCAAGAAUGACACUAUAAGUGCAUUUCUUGAUUACUAUAAACGAAUAAUUUAAACAGCAUUUGUAUAGAAAUGAUUCUGUCCCAAGCCUUUUGAACACUAUAAGCGGUUCAUUACAUUAUCCGUGACCACUAUUAGCGGAUUCCACUGUAUCACCAAACCUUUUUGUAUGCUCUUUGACAAAGCUCUGAAUUCUAUGAGUAAGUUAUACAUGUUUUAUGUUGUAAGGGUGUAAAAGAAAAACUAAACUGUCUGCCUCUAGUCUUAAGAUCCCCUCAGAUUUGCUGUUUGUUGGCUACAAAUGUGCUCAUAUAAGCAUUAUUAAUAACCUAACUGGAUUCGGACGAAAUUUGGUAUAACAUGACAGAAAUCUAGUGUUUUGUUUUUUUAUUUACAAAGUUUGACCCUUCGAAAUUCUGAAUGCUGGAGUGUUGUGUUAUGCAUCUCCAGUGUGCGAGUUGACAUGGGGUGCUUUGCUUUAAGUAGUUUAAAUUACGUAUGUUUAUCUUCAUCUAUUCUUCAUCUAUUCUUUUUUUUUACUGAAAAUAUACAUAAAUAGAAGAGAAAUAAAAGCAGGCUUUCUGGGUGCAGUGUGGUGGAAAAGUGGGUGUGAACCUGUAAACAAGGGACACCUGCUAACUCCUCCUCAGAUGACGAAAAGAAGAGUGCAUACAUAGAGCAUGACCAGCAGCUAUUGCAGUUUUCUCUAUAUUUUAUCUUGAAAACACCAACAAAAACAUGGUAAUCUAGUGAGUGCGUGUACCCAUGUCUAUGGGUGUAUCAACCGAAAAGGAAGAAAAAACAGCAUCUCAUUUUAUCGCUUCCCUAAAGACCCGGGAAGGCAAGUGAGAUGGGUGGCUGCUGUGAAGAGACAGAGCUAGCAACCAACUACAACUAGCACAAUUUGUAGCGAUCACCUCUUAAACGGUGAGGUAUUCUGCUCAAUUAUUUUGGAAGGGAUUUUUUUUUCAUUUAGAGAGGUGUGGAAAUUCCGUCCGAUGUUAGUUAAAAAAUGGAAAGAUUAAUCGUUUACCAAGUGUGCAGGGUUUCCCCCAGUGUAUUAUAGUUCGCCAGCCUUUCCUAAAAAGUAAACUUAAAUAUUUGUGAAAUAAUUGCACAGGUUAUGGUAGGUAAGGUCUGAAGGUGAAGGGAUAUCUGGCAUUUGGUAGUCUUGUAUCAUCAGAAACAAUCUAGCAGGGAAAUUCUAAGGAUCCUGGACCACAACAAGAGAACUUUUCGCAACAUAGCACUGUAUUAAUUCCCCAUCUGAAUGUCAAACAUAUGUAGGCAAUGUUUGGUUGGGAGAUUCGCAAAUCAUUUUGAAUAACAUCAGUCUAGUAAAUGUCUCGCUAUAUUAUUGCGAUGCACGUAGGUGAUUUUAUGCCAUGGCGCAAACAGACAGCAGUCAUGUGAUUGCACAUUAUCUGACACAACGUCACAUAAUCGCUCACUGGUUUCAUACUUUACAAACGUAAGCCAAGAAGCAAAAAUGCCACACAAAAAAACACUGUUUAGGCGGCUUUGGACAUGAUCCUGAACCAAGUCGAGUCUUGCAACUCGGGUGGGGAAGACAGACCUUCAGAUGAGUUCAGACUUUGACAUUUCUUCUGGUGAAGAGACCUCACCACCACUUGAAAAGAGAGGUCAAUUGGUGACACACAUCAGGCCAACAGAGGGGGAAGAUGGCAGUGUGGGCCCGGAAGAAGAGAUCGGGAAGCUUCUCCUUCAAAGUAAAUAAAAAUGUACGCCACAGAAGAUGGAGAGCAAACAGCUUUAGUCAGAAGACCUACAGAGCUUCCGCUGCUUCAUCACCCUUCGCUCCACACUGGAGGACAGUUGGUUCAGGAUUCAUGACAUAGCAGCGUUAAAUGCCCACGCGCUCCAUAAGGCAUGCACAGGGGUGCAGGAGAAACGGGUGGACUUCCUAGUGGGAAAAGGGCGUUUCGCCUGGUGAACCUUUGGUGCAGCAAUUCACGCCACCAUGCGCUAUGUUGAUUGUUACAAGCAUACAUGUGGUAAAUGUAGGGAGGAGCUGGUAAAAUGCCAAGCAUGCUCAGAUGAUGUAGUGUUGAAGGACAGGUCCAACCCAUGAACAAUGACAUGUCACCAUCUUGGUGAUAUAUACAUUAAAGAUAACUGUAUUUGAACACCCUGCUCUUUUGCAAGUUCUCCCACUUUGAAAUCAAGGAGGGGUCUGAAAUUGUCAUCGUAGGUGCAACUCCACUGUAAGAGACAUAAUCUAAAAGAAAACAUCCAGAAAUCAAAAUGUAUGAUUUGUCAACUAUUUAUAUGAUACAGCUGAAAAUAACUAUUAGAACACAUGAGAAAAUCAAUGUUAAUAUUUGGUACAGUAGCCUUUAUUAUUAAUGACUGAAGUCGAACGUAUCCUGUAGUUUUUCACCAGGUUUGCACACAGUGCCGGAGGGAUUUUGGCCCACUCCUCCACACAGAUCUUCUCUGGAUCAGUCAGGUUUCUGGGCUUUUGCUGAUAAACACAGUUUGAGCUCCAUCCAAAGACUCUAUUGGGUUUAGACUGGCUAGGCCACAUCAGAACCUUGAUAUGCUUCUUACAGAGCCACUUGUUGGUUAUCCUGGUUGUGUGCUUUGGGUCAUUGUCAUGUUGGGAGACCCAGCCUCGACCCAUAUUCAAUGCUCUGAGGGAAGGAGGUUGUUUCCCAAAAUCUUUCAAUACAUGGGCCCGGUCAUCCUCUCCAUAAUACAAUGCAGUAAACAUGUCCCAUAUGCAGAAAAAUGCCCCUAAAGCACUACCACCCCCAUGCUUCAUAGUAGGGAUUUUGUUCUUGGGAUGGUACUCAUCAUUCUUCUUCCUCCAACCAAAAAGUUCUAUUUUGGUCUCAUCUGACCAGAUGACUUUCUCUCAUGAUUUCUCUGAAUCAUCCAAAAGGUCAUUGGCAAACUUAAGACAGGCAUUGACGUGUGUUGGUUUAAGCUUGAAAACCUUCAGUGCCACGCAUGAUUUCAAACCAUGAUGUCUUAGUGUAUCACCAACAGUAACCUUGGAAACCGUGGUCCAAGCUCUUUACACAUCAUUGACCAGUUUCUCUUGUGUAGUUCUGUGCUGUUUUCCUACCUUUCUUAUGAUCAAUGAGACUCCACGAGGUGAGAUCUUGCAUGGAGCCCCAAUCCAAGGGAGAUUGACUAAUAUUUAGCUUCUUCCAUUUUCUAAUGAUUGGUCAAACAGUGGACCUUUAUUCACCAAGCUACUUGGCAAUUUCCCCAUAGCCCCUUCCAGCCUUGUCGAGGUGUACAAUUUUAUCUCUAGUGUCUUUGGACAGCUCUUUGGUCUUGACCAUGUUAGUAGUUUGAUUCUCACUGAUUGAAUGGGGUGAACAGGUGUCUUUUUUCAGCAAACGACCUCAAACAGGUGCAUCUAAUUAAGGAUAAUAAAUGUAGUGGAGGUGGAAAUUGGGAAGGCAGACUAAUAGGUCUUUGAGGGUCAGAAUUCUAGCUGAUAGGCAAGUGUUCAAAUACUUAUUUGCAGCUGUAUCAUAAAAAUAGAUAAAAAAAAAAAACCAUACAUUGUGAAUUCUGGAAUUUUAUAGUGGACAUGCACCUACAAUGACAAUUUCAGACCCCUCCAUGAUUUCUGAGUAGGAGAACUUGCAAAAUAGCAGGGUGUUCAAAUACUUAUUUUCCUCACUGUAUCUGUAGUCUUAUUGCACUAAAUAUACUGCAAAGGCUGGUGUAUUUGCAUUUUUCUUAGUCAUUUCAAAAAAUGACAUGUUUGAAUCUUGCGCUUCAACAAUAAAUCUAUGCAAGGAAUUGUGUAAAAAGUGUUUAAUUUUUACUACGCAAAGAUUUAUUUUUUUUUUUCAGUUGUGCUCACUGUAAAUAUCAUUGCUCAUACUCUGCUAAACUGGUUAUGCCUGAAUGUGCAUUUCUGAAAAAGGGUAACUUAAUUUCAUCAACCUGUCAUUUGCAGAACCAUGGUGUCCUUCACACCAGAGUUACGAUAUUAGCUCAAAGCUAAUCUGGCGGCACUCUGGGAGUGGACGGUAGAAAAGCCAAAUGGCUAAACACAAUUUAUGUUCUUUAUUUUAAAGGAUAUUACAGGGAAAUACUGCAUUUAAGGUAAUGGUUAUAUUCCAGUAAUUAUUUGGAAUUAGGCAUACAAGCAGACAAAUAUGUUUGCCAAUGAAUUUUGCAUUGUUCAAAAGUUAAGUUUGAGCUGGUUCUAAAGAACUGGAUUCAUACAUAAAGGUGUGCUGGCAUGCUAAAACACAACAAAACAAAUUGUGGAUUUUUUCUCUUGUGUGGAAUGCAUAGUGAUUGCUUGCAGUUAUAAGGACUUGCUGCUUUUAUGAGGAUUGUUUCUUCAAGCAUCUUCUCCUAGAUCCAGACCAGAGUAUCACUGAUAUCCUACAAAGUCAGAAGUUCAACAAGUUGGAGUCUCUGACUUAAAUGUGAUGUCUCAGAUACGUUCUGCUGGAGUUAGGCGAGGUUAGAGGCCUGGAAAUGGUUCCAGAUCCUUCCUGCCAAGGAAACCCACAAAUUCUGCUGCUCAGAGAAUGGUAGUGAUGGGCGGUAAUAGGCAUCAGGCCUCCCUUAAAGAAAUCUGUUUCCUGGUUUGAUCAAGGAAAUUCAUAUCAGUGGCUCUCCCAGAGGCACAGAAACCUUUCUGGUGACAGUGCAUGGUGAUGUUCCAUCAUCCUGGUGGAGCUUGGCUGCCUGGGCACCAGUUUUAUGGUCCAGGUAUCCCCUCAUGCAACCAUGGUAAACUGAUUAAUCUUAUUUGCUUAAUUCCUUUUAUCUACAUUCAAAUAAUGUUGAGGCUUGUUGCUGGAUAUCUAUUUUUCAUUAACUUGGUGCAGUAAUCUUCCUUCAAAAAUAAAACUACUCAAUUAGUAUUUAUACAACUUAAGGAAAAAGAAAAUCAAUGAAAUAAAUAGGUAAUCUUGAUUUAGGGUGUAGGUUAAUGUAUUAGAAUGCCAGAACAAUUUGGAAAAAUUGCCCUAAAUAUAAAGUAUUGAGUGUUUGAAGACAAAAGCUUGUAAUGAGUAAAUGUAGGAAACACACUUGCAACUAAACAACAGGUAAAUGAACAUUUUAUUUACACAAUAUGUUUUGAUUUCAAUAACAGCAACCUUCUUAGUACCACGUAUAAGAGGCACAGAAAUAUUUACAGGUCUGGUCUCACACCGAAUCCUGGUCCUGUAGGAGGUUCUGUCAGAGAAGUCAAUCCACCUGCUGGCUCACAAGAGAAACGGCCACUCCUACAAGAUAAACAAAUUAUUAUUAGAAGAUUAGAAAGUGGAAAUUUCUUGAUUGGGUGUUUGUUGUUUAUACCUAGGCCCAGGUGGUGGGACUCGUCCUGCCUUCAGUUCAUCAAUAAUAUGCUCAAUAUCCUUUGGUGUGAGGUCCUCCUGAGGGGGAGAAAUAAGCAUCAAUCCGUUAGACACUGCAGUUGUCAAUGUUGUUACUGUAGGGAAAAAUAAGGCUAUCCAUGUCAUCUCUAUAGAUGUAUCCCUAACCUUGUGUGAACCCCUAGAUGUUGCUGCUCAUGGGUUUGCUAAAGGUCGGGUUCAAUAGGACUCAAACCAAGAAACUAAGGAAAGAGAGCUAAUGUUUCUGCAAAAAAAACAAAACUAAGAAAAGUAAUUGGUGUAUUUUCAAAAAUAAAGUAAAACAAUGCAUGCUGAUGUUAAAAUACAGGAGAGCCAUGGCCUAGUGGUUAAAAGGCAGGGUGUUUGGGUUCAGGAGAGGCAGCAAGAUCCCAGUUUAUAAGUCUGCAACCAUCAGUCUCCUAGCAUAAGCGUAAAUCUGAUCCAAUGCUGCUGUUAGCUGCCCACUGCAUCCUUAGGAUCACUGUAAUGUACAACUAGAUAGGACUAAUUACUGUAAUAAAAAGCAUUAGAUAAAACAAGAGCCAUAUCAAAAUCUAUUUUUCUUCUGUUAGUCUAAAACAGCUAAAUAGAAAUAUUACAUUCUUUAUCAACAAAACCUUAAAAAAAAAAAAGAUUAUCUAGUGGAAAACCUGCACAUUACUUCCCGAUCUCGAAUAGAAAUAGGAUGUUUGCUUCACAUUUUAAGCUCUUAUACUUUUUUGCUUUAAAAUGUUUUCUGUAUAACAGGAAAGCUGAAGCUGCUUUUAAAGUUCACUAAUUUUUAUGAAACUGACAAAGAAAUAUGUAUAAACAUCUUUUCUGAACUGGACAUCAAACAAAAUCAAAUACUUUCAGCAUUCCGUAUCUGAGAAGGUGAGGGAAUCUCAUUUUUUUGUUAAGUUUAUGACACAUUCACAACGGAGUAGAGAACAUUAUGCAGAUGAAUUGUUCAAUUUAGCAGAAUGAAGAUAAUUAUUAUGAGAUGAAGCCAAAAAAUAAAAAAAACAGGUUUGAGCAAAAACUGCUAUCCUAGUAGCCUACUGCUCCAAUGCAGGAAGCAUUUUAAUCUAAAAAGGACAUUGAAACCUGUCUGCUUUACAGUUCUAUUGGAUGUAUAAAAACGUACAGUAAAUCUUUAUCAAAAAGGUAACAUUUUAAAACUCUAGUCUAAAUACUGGCUUACCUAAUCCUAUUACCUAGAAAUUUCAUUUAAGAGCACAAGUUGCUCACUAACAUCCCAGAACGACCACUGCUUAUGUUAUUAAUAAGAUCUCUUAACUUUUGUAAUCACAUUUCAGCAGUUUUACAACAACCUUCAGUGUUUUUCAGUUUUUUUUCUCCUUAAACUGUGGUUUAUUUUAGCUAAGCGUUCAAUUACUAAUUUCCCCCCAGUGGAUAUAACGGCACAAUUAUUCAGAAAACAUGUUGUUAAUGUCACAUCUGCCUUAAGAAGCGAAACUAUUUCUUGUUGAUUGCGUGUGGACUGCAGCGCAGCUGAAACAGCGCUGGUAGCUGCACUCACUGCAGGCAUUCCUUACAAACGUAUUUCUGCUUUUAAUCUAAUUCUGUUAAUGUAGUUAAGAGUGUGCAGCAAGGAGGCCAUCUGCGCAGAGUGGCCCAGCACUCACAUAAUAGUUGUCAUUUAUCUGAACCAUUGGGGCAUUCACGCAGGCGCCCAGGCAUUCCACUUCUAUCAGAGUGAACAUCUUGUCUGGAGUGGUUUCUCCAGCCUUAAUACCUGUUGAGAAAACAUAAGGUGGGUAGAAAUUAAAAGGGAAAAUAAAUUAUGCAGAUUAUGAAAGCAUGUAAUAUCUACUUGACUGUAAGUAAAGGAAAAGAAAAACUAGCAUCAUCUUCUAAAUGUAAGGCUGAACUUUGGUUUCCUGUUUUGUUUCUUGUAAUCUUGUUUGUUGCCACUACUUGUUGAAUACCAUUUAGAUUUACAUGUUUGUAAAAACCUUAAUCUUGUUUAUAAAUUAUUAAAACUGAGAGUCUGUA